rnacentral:rRNA from 1 species
UGCAAGGUUAAGCAGUAAAUGUGGAGCCGUAGCGAAAGCGAGUCUGAAUAGGGCGUUUAGUAUUUGGUCGUAGACCCGAAACCAGGUGAUCUACCCUUGGUCAGGUUGAAGUUCAGGUAACACUGAAUGGAGGACCGAACCGACUUACGUUGAAAAGUGAGCGGAUGAACUGAGGGUAGCGGAGAAAUUCCAAUCGAACCUGGAGAUAGCUGGUUCUCUCCGAAAUAGCUUUAGGGCUAGCCUCAAGUGAUGAUUAUUGGAGGUAGAGCACUGUUUGGACGAGGGGCCCCUCUCGGGUUACCGAAUUCAGACAAACUCCGAAUGCCAAUUAAUUUAACUUGGGAGUCAGAACAUGGGUGAUAAGGUCCGUGUUCGAAAGGGAAACAGCCCAGACCACCAGCUAAGGUCCCAAAAUAUAUGUUAAGUGGAAAAGGAUGUGGCGUUGCCCAGACAACUAGGAUGUUGGCUUAGAAGCAGCCAUCAUUUAAAGAGUGCGUAAUAGCUCACUAGUCGAGUGACACUGCGCCGAAAAUGUACCGGGGCUAAACAUAUUACCGAAGCUGUGGAUUGUCCUUUGGACAAUGGUAGGAGAGCGUUCUAAGGGCGUUGAAGCAUGAUCGCAAGGACAUGUGGAGCGCUUAGAAGUGAGAAUGCCGGUGUGAGUAGCGAAAGACGGGUGAGAAUCCCGUC